AUGAGGAGCUCCGUCACGCACCCAUGGUUGCCGCUGGGGAACACACUGAGGAGAGCGCAUGUAGGCUGCAGCAUCGUCCGCGUCGAGACUGACGGCACAGUAGGGUCGUGCAUCAUCGCACUGACGGCCCUCAAGCAGCGCCGCAUCAGCCACCGCGAUCACGGGUCCAGGAGCUCUGUCUGUCUCGGGUCGCAUCAUUGUCGCCGCUCGAGCAUCUUAUUCUCCAGCGUCACGACUCACCAUCAUGUGUGUGUGUGUGUCGGUGCGUGGACGACGAUGGUCGUGGUUGCCGGAGACUAA
rnacentral:rRNA from 1 species